rnacentral:rRNA from 1 species
GAUGAACGCUAGCGGCAGGCCUAACACAUGCAAGUCGAGGGGCAGCGGGGGUAGCAAUACCUGCCGGCGACCGGCGCACGGGUGAGUAACACGUAUGCAAUCUGCCCUCCUCUGGGGAAUAACCCGGAGAAAUCAGGACUAAUCCCCCAUGGCGCGUUUGGGUGGCAUCACCGAACCGCUAAAGACUUAUCGGACGAGGAUGGGCAUGCGUCCUCUUAGCUAGAUGGCGGGGUAACGGCCCACCAUGGCGACGAUAGGUAGGGGUUCUGAGAGGAAGGUCCCCCACAGUGGUACUGAGACACGGACCAGACUCCUACGGGAGGCAGCAGUGAGGAAUAUUGGUCAAUGGGCGAGAGCCUGAACCAGCCAUGCCGCGUGCAGGAUGACGGCCCUACGGGUUGUAAACUGCUUUUAUCAGAGGGCAAACCCCUCCUUGCGAGGAGGGUUGGGAGUAUCUGAAGAAUAAGGAUCGGCUAACUCCGUGCCAGCCGCCGCCGUAA